rnacentral:rRNA from 1 species
ACGGGAGGCAGCAGUGAGGAAUAUUGGACAAUGGAUGGAAGUCUGAUCCAGCCAUGCCGCGUGAAGGAUGGAUGCCCUACGGGUUUUGAACUUCUUUUGUAGGGGGGCAAUAAGGGCCACGGGUGGCCCGAUGAGAGUACCGUACGAAUAAGCAUCGGCUAACUCCGUGCCAGCAGCCGCGGUAAUACGGAGGAUGCGAGCGUUAUCCGGAUUUAUUGGGUUUAAAGGGUGCGUAGGCGGCUUGCCAAGUCAGCGGUGAAAUCCGGGCGCCCAACGCCGGGACUGCCGUUGAAACUGGCGGGCUUGAAUGGUGCAGCCGCAUGCGGAAUGUGUGGAGUAGCGGUGAAAUGCAUAGAUAUCACACAGAACGCCGAUUGUGGAGGCAGCGUGCGAGACACUAAUUGACGCUGAGGCACGAAGGUGCGGGGAUCGAACAGGAUUAGAUACCCUGGUA